UAUAAUGAACAUCUAUUAAUGAAACUUCAUAUUCAUACAAUUUAUUAAGGUUGGACAUUUUAAUCGAUACCCGAACCCGUAUCUGAAUCCGAUCCGAAGUAGCAAAAUACCGAAAGGUUAUUGAAUUCAGAGAAAUUGGAAAUCUAGAAACAAACGGGUAAUAUCCGAACACGAACGGAUAAUAUCCAAACCCGAAUGAUAUCAAAGAUAACCAAACAUAAGUAUACUUAACCCUACAUUUCUAGUUUACUCCUCUCAUUUUAUUCAAAAAAAUUAUAUUAAUGAUGCACAUUUCUCAAAAUUAGAUAAUAUACAUAUAAUUAUAGAAAAAAUCAUUUGCUACUCACUUAAAAUUCAUAUCAAGCUCUUGUUUGUUGCAUUAAUAAACGUUGCAUCUAAAAUUACGAAACAACAACUAAAUUAGUGGUUAUCUGUUCUUAAAGUUUUAUCUCCAAACCUAUUAAAAGAUUAAUCUUUUGAAAAUUAAUAAACCAGUUAAGUUAAAAAUAUAUUUUAAAUACAAAAAAAAUAAUGAAUAAUUUAUUAAAUUUUUCUUCAAAAUUUCGAUAUCCAAACCCGACCCAAAAUAUCUGAACCCAAACAUAAAAUACCCGAACCGGACCCGAAGUGUAGAAAUACC
rnacentral:lncRNA from 1 species